rnacentral:rRNA from 1 species
AUGCUUUAUACAUGCAAGUCGAACGGAGGCCCUAGCUUGCUAGGUGUCCUUAGUGGCGCACGGGUGAGUAACACGUGGGAACAUACCUUAUAGUACGGAAUAACUGCGGGAAACUGUAGCUAAUACCGUAUACUCCAGUAAUGGGAAAGAUUUAUCGCUAUAAGAUUGGCCCGCGCAAGAUUAGUUUGUUGGUAAGGUAAAGGCUUACCAAGACUACGAUCUUUAGCUGGUUUGAGAGGACGAUCAGCCACACUGGGACUGAGACACGGCCCAGACUCCUACGGGAGGCAGCAGUAGGGAAUAUUGGACAAUGGGGGAAACCCUGAUCCAGCAAUGCAGCGUGAGUGACGAAGGCCUUAGGGUUGUAAAACUCUUUCAUCGGUGAGGAUAAUGACAGUAGCCGAAGAAGAAGGACCGGCUAAUUCCGUGCCAGCAGCCGCGGUAAUACGGAAGGUCCUAGCGUUGUUCGGAAUUACUGGGCGUAAAGCGCAUGUAGGCGGAACAGAAAGUUAGAAGUGAAAUCCCUGGGCUCAACCUAGGAAUUGCUUUUAAAACUUCUGUUCUGGAAUUCAGGAGAGGAAAAUGGAAUUUCCAGUGUAGAGGUGAAAUUCGUAGAUAUUGGAAGGAACACCAGUGGCGAAGGCGAUUUUCUGGACUGAUAUUGACGCUGAGAUGCGAAGGCAUGGGUAGCAAACGGGAUUAGAUACCCCGGUAGUCCAUGCAGUAAACGAUGGGUGCUAGUCGUCGGACUUUUGUUCGGUGUCGUAGCUAACGCGUUAAGCACCCCGCCUGGGGAGUACGGU